AACGAACGCUGGCGGCAUGCCUAACACAUGCAAGUCGAACGAGACCUUCGGGUCUAGUGGCGCACGGGUGCGUAACGCGUGGGAACCUGCCCUUAGGUUCGGAAUAACUCCCCGAAAGGGGUGCUAAUACCGGAUAAUGUCUUCGGCCCAAAGAUUUAUCGCCUUUGGAUGGGCCCGCGUUGGAUUAGCUAGUUGGUAGGGUAAAAGCCUACCAAGGCGACGAUCCAUAGCUGGUCUGAGAGGAUGAUCAGCCACACUGGGACUGGGACACGGCCCAGACUCCUACGGGAGGCAGCAGUGGGGAAUAUUGGACAAUGGGCGAAAGCCUGAUCCAGCAAUGCCGCGUGAGUGAUGAAGGCCGUAGGGUUGUAAAGCUCUUUUACCCGGGAUGAUAAUGACAGUACCGUGAGAAUAAGCUCCGGCUAACUCCGUG
rnacentral:rRNA from 1 species